rnacentral:tRNA from 1 species
GGGCCCAUAGCUCAGUGGCAGAGUGCCGCCUUUGCAAGGCGGAGGCCUUGGGUUCAAAUCCCAAUGGGUCCA